AACGAACGCUGGCGGCAGGCUUAACACAUGCAAGUCGAACGGCUGUAGCAAUACAGCAGUGGCAGACGGGUGAGUAACACGUGGGAACCUUCCUAGGGGUACGGAACAACUCAGGGAAACUUGAGCUAAUACCGUAUACGUCCGUAAGGAGAAAGAUUUAUCGCCCUUAGACGGGCCCGCGUCGGAUUAGCUAGUUGGUGGGGUAACGGCCUACCAAGGCGACGAUCCGUAGCUGAUCUGAGAGGAUGAUCAGCCGCACUGGGACUGAGACACGGCCCAGACUCCUACGGGAGGCAGCAGUGGGGAAUCUUGGACAAUGGGCGCAAGCCUGAUCCAGCCAUGCCGCGUGAGUGAAGAAGGCCUUAGGGUUGUAAAGCUCUUUUGGCAGGGACGAUAAUGACGGUACCUGCAGAAUAAGCCCCGGCAAACUUCGUGCCAGCCGCCGCGGUAAAAC
rnacentral:rRNA from 1 species